rnacentral:rRNA from 1 species
GACGUAGGGCGCGAGCGUUGUCCGGAUUUAUUGGGCGUAAAGAGCUCGUAGGCGGCUUGUCGCGUCGUCCGUGAAAACCCACAGCUCAACUGUGGGCUUGCGGUCGAUACGGGCAGGCUAGAAUUCGGUAGGGGGAGACUGGAAUUCCUGGUGUAGCGGUGAAAUGCGCAGAUAUCAGGAAGAACACCAAUGGCGAAGGCAGCUCUCUGGGACGGUACUGACGCUGAGACGCGAAAGCGUGGGGGAGCGAACAGG